AUGGAACCUAAGGCCUCCAGCCCGUGGGUCAACACAACUGGUGGUGGCAGCGGCAGCAGCAGCGGCUGCGGUGGCAGACAGAACAGAACAUGGGGCCAGUUUCUGCCAGCUCACAGGCCUGUGCAGUUGGCUGAAGAGCAGACUGAAGAUCUCCACAGCAGGCCGCGAGGAGCUAGCUCGCGUGUGCAGGCCGGAGAUCGGCGCGGGGGUCAGCGCCUGGGCGAUGAGGGGCCGGCGCUGAGCGGGAAGAGCGGGCACCGCGGCGCGGCUCGGAGGGGACCCUCAGUGGCAGCGCCCCGGGGGCGCCCCCGCCUCAGUUGUCUAAACUUCAGGCUGUCUUCCACCCGCCCUCCGCGCCCGGAGUCAACAACUUCUUCACCCCCCUCCGCCCCCGCCCUUCCCUUCGUCAGUCCCGGGAGCUCGCCGCGCGGCGGGGACCAGGAACCUCCGGCGCGGAGAUGUGGCGGUGAGACGUUCGCGGGCGGCGAGGAGAAGCUCGGCGGCGUCCCGGAGCCGGAGGGCGCUGGGGCCGGGGCGCAGGGGCGCGAGCUCUCCGCGCCUCCCCCCCGCCGCCUCCGGCCGUCUCUGCCGCCGCGCGUGCCUUGCAAGCGGCAGCCGGAGCUGCCAGGCGCCAGGGCCGCGGAGGUGUCGUCGCCGUCGCCGCCGGCGGGGGCUGCCAGCGCCGCCCUCCCGGCCUCGGAGAAAGUGCACGGCUUCACCCGGAAAUCGGUGCGCAAGGCGCAGAGGCAGAAGCGCUCCCAGGGCUCGUCGCGGUUCCGCGGCCGGGGCCGCCAGGCGGAGCUGCACCCCUUGCCCCGGCUCCAAGAUGCUGCUUCAAAUGAACAGCGAGAGCUUUUCUGUCAGGAGCUGCAGCGGUGUUGGGUACUGUUUGAUUUCACGGACUCGGUUUCAGACUUGAAGAGCAAAGAAAUUAAAAGAGCAACACUGAAUGAACUGGUUGAGUCUGUUUCAACUAACCGUGGUGUGAUUGUCGAAUCGGCAUAUUCUGAUAUAGUAAAACGGAUCAGUGCUAACAUUUUCCGUACUCUUCCUCCAAGUGAUAAUCCAGAUUUUGAUCCAGAAGAGGAUGAGCCCACACUUGAGGCCUCUUGGCCUCACAUACAAUUGGUGUAUGAAUUCUUCUUGAGAUUUUUGGAGAGCCCUGAUUUCCAGCCUAGCAUUGCAACGCGAACAUUUUUGAUCAGAAUUUUGUACAACAGCUCCUGGAAAUUUUUGAUAGUGAAGAUCCCAGAGAACGUGACUUCCUGAAGACAGUUCUGCAUCGAAUUUAUGGGAAAUUUUUUGGAUUAAGAGCGUUCAUCAGAAAGCAAAUUAACAACAUUUUCCUCAGGUUUAUAUAUGAAACAGAACAUUUCAAUGGUAUUGCUGAACUCCUCAAAAUAUUAGGAAAUAUUACCAACGGGCUUUGCAUUGCCACUGAAAGCAGAACAUAAUUUCUAAUGAAGCUUCUUAUUCCUAUGCAUACUGUAAAAGGAUUAGCUUUGUUUCAUGUUCAGCUAGCAUAUUGUGUCGUACAGUUCCUGGAGAAAGAUACAACACUAACAGAACCAGUGAUCAGAGGUCUGCUGAAAUUUUGGCCAAAAACGUGCAGUCAGAAAGAGGUGAUGUUUUUAGGAGAAAUUGAAGAAAUCUUAGAUAUCGUUGAACCAACACAGUUCAAAAAAAUUGAAGAGCCACUUUUUAAGCAGAUAUCCAAGUGUGUAUCCAAUUCUCAUUUCCAGGUUGUAGAAAGGGCAUUGUACUUCUGGAAUACUGAAUAUAUCCUUAGUUUAACUGAGGAGAAUAUUGAUAAAUUUCUGCCAAUUAUGUUUGCCAGUUUGUACAAAUUUCCAAAGAACACUGGAAUCUGACCAUUGUAACCCUAGUACACAAUGUGCUGAAAACCCUAAUGGGAAUGAAUGGCAAGCUUUUUGAGGACCUUACUAGCUCAUACAAAGCUGAAAGACAGAGUGAGGAAAAGAAGGAAUUGGAAUGUGAAAAAUUAUGGAAACAAUUAGAGGAGCUAAAGCUAAAGAAAGCUCUAACAGUGCUUUUAACAUGCACAGUAUUCUCAGCAAUACAGGUGCUGAAUAA